rnacentral:rRNA from 1 species
UGGGGAAUUUUGGACAAUGGGGGAAACCCUGAUCCAGCCAUCCCGCGUGUGCGAUGAAGGCCUUCGGGUUGUAAAGCACUUUUGGCAGGAAAGAAACGUCAUGGGUUAAUACCCCGUGAAACUGACGGUACCUGCAGAAUAAGCACCGGCUAACUACGUGCCAGCAGCCUCGGUAAUACGUAGGGUGCAAGCGUUAAUCGGAAUUACUGGGCGUAAAGCGUGCGCAGGCGGUUCGGAAAGAAAGAUGUGAAAUCCCAGAGCUCAACUUUGGAACUGCAUUUUUAACUACCGGGCUAGAGUGUGUCAGAGGGAGGUGGAAUUCCGCGUGUAGCAGUGAAAUGCGUAGAUAUGCGGAGGAACACCGAUGGCGAAGGCAGCCUCCUGGGAUAACACUGACGCUCAUGCACGAAAGCGUGGGGAGCAAACAGG